CUGGUUGAAGAUAAUGGAUUAAAAAACAACUCGGAGUUGUCAAUGUUGACCGAAAAGCACGACAACAUCAUAGGGGUUGGAUUAUACAACCAAGUCAAGUUGUAAUUUUAGACUGCUCGGAAUCGAAACAUGAGAAGUUUUGAGGUCCAGAUUGGAUUCGAAAUUUUCGAUUGAAACAUAAUAAGAAUUUCUCGUUUUUUCCUAAUCGAGAUGGGAGGGUUUUGCUUGAUAAUUUUCCAAGGUUUAUCCUUUCGAGGAGUUUCUAUAUUUUACAACAUUUUUUGAGUGCAUAUUUAUCAUAAUUUUUAGUAAGCAAUAUACAUGGAGAUUUUAAACUUAGUGCACGUUGUAGUAAUUUUUGCAACAUUUCUUUGUACUGAAAACAACUCAUGGCUAGAAAGUCAUGAAAUAGAUAAAUUUGGCGAACAUCCGGAUAAUAGAGAUUCAACUCUGGUACACGCGAAAAAGAAAUUCUAUGGAUACUGGUCACAAUGCAGUACUUCUUGUGGGUCUGGAUAUCAAAGAUGGAUUUGCAUUAGUGGAAUGGAUGAGUGCCGCAGCAAUGAAACAAGACCAUGCUUUAUCAAGUUUUGCCCAAGUUAUCUUUCAUUUCCUCGAAUGCAUUUUUACGGACAAUUUACUGCUGACGUCAAUACCAUAAACAACGUAAGAUGUAAUUACGUCAACAAGAGAUUCACGGCUCCGAAUAUCAAAGAAGAUAUAGAAAUCUUGACAAGAAAGGAUGCGGUUACGAGACCGGAACUAUAAAUUGGAAUCCAGACGGAAGUGGAAGAUUUCACAUAGACGCUAAAGUGACAGCACUGGUUAGAGAAAAUGGUGAAUAUUCUACCAAUGACAGCAUCAUUGGAAGUGAAAUAAAAGAAACCUCCCCUGUAGCUAUAGUGGACUUGGAUCCUGACUGGCAACUCGCUUCAGAAAUUUACGGAUUGCAAUUAAAAAUACAGGGAGUAUUGGAAGCAAAAGUUAAAACGUCCGCGAUUCAGCAACCAAAGCCAAGAGGGGAUACGUUAUGGCUACGAUGAAAAGUGUUCUAAUUGAUGUGAAAUGGCUGAACAAUGACAUCAAGAAUAUGUUCAAAAAUUCAACUAAACUCUCAAUUUCUUUCCUAUGGACCAGUUUGAGAUGAAAUCACUAACCGGAAGAGUAACCGGGACCAUAGGAAUGACAAGCGAUGAUGAUCCUCUUGCAACGACUGCUUUGCGACGCAUGUAUCCCGAAAGUAGCUGGCCAAUGAAAGGAAGUCUGCCAUUUUACAUUGACCAGCAGAAUAAAAUCAUGUCGAUAGACUUAUCAACUGCAUUUAAUUGCACAGCAAAUGGAGAAUUUAAUAUAGUAGAAAUCAUAGGGUCCCUGGAUCUUGUUAUGAACCUAGAUAAACGAAAUCUGUAUCGCAGGUGAGUGCGGUAUUGCAAGUUCAUAGCAAACUAUUAUAGAACUGUAACAUGAAUGCCUAAGCUUUGAAUAAACAUGUUAGAAUUUGUAGCGUAAUGUAAGGCUACUUACCGGUAUCAUAUCGCGAAACCACCAGUGUUCUUCAAGUACCGUAACGUUGACUUUGAUUUUUCUUGAAAUAUACAUCAGCAUGUUGAACUUGAC